CUGAGAUUACAGGUGUGAGCCACUAUGCCUAGUAUGAAUAGAAUAUCCUCUUAUUGUCUGCUUGGAUGACCCACAACAUGGAUUUCUGCAUAACAGGACACUAAUUCUGUUUUCCAGACAUUAUUAAAAGCUGCUAUGGUACUAAACCCAUUAUCAGCCUUUUAGAUUUUAUCCUCAGGGUAUAAUGAAGCUGUGGCCUGUUAAUCUAACAUCUGAAUUGCAUUUAUUAUUUUAUCUGAUAUCACUUUCUACUUUUUUCCAGCUGUUGUAUUAAUUAUCGCAGUAUUCCAAACCACUUCCAGCUUAAGUAUUGGGGCUGAGUGUUAGAGGUCCUAUUAUCAUGCCCUGUUUACAGAAGAAAAAAUGAAGGCACACAGAGGUUAAUUAACUUGCCUAAGGUGAUAAAGUUAGCGAGAGAGCAGGAUUUAAAUCUUAGCCAUCUACUUCUACAAUCUGUGCUCUAACUGCUUUGCCUUACUGCCUCUUCAAACUGUUGUCAUUUGAGAGGUUUAGGUAGUAGCUAUUCUUACUGAUUCAUAAUAGGGGCAGUACAGUUAGAGUUAAUGGAGAAGUGAGUUUCAGUUGAUUCUUAAAAUAGAGAAUAGGUUUAAAUAUAUGAAAAAGAGCAUUCCAAGAUACACAGAAUAAGCAAAGGUUCAGAGACAAGACUAACCAGAGUAUGUUCAGGGAAUAACGAAGAUAUUAGACUGACUAUAGAAAUAAUAACUAGUGAACUUGGUUAGUAUUGAAAGUUUAUCCAUUAGAACUUAACUGGGAAAAAUAUUAAGUGUUUAUAUCUGAGUUCUUAGAUUCAAUUGAAUUCUUUAAAAAAUAUUGCUAAUCUUACUCCUUGGGAACACUGACUCAGUUUUCAGAUGGAAAUUUCUUAGUAAGGAAAUAAUAAAAUUCAUAGUAUUUAUUAUAGAUUUUUUUUUUUUUAGUAUUUUCAUUUUUUCUUGAGCUAGUUCUGCUGACACCAACAUAAUUUGAUUAGUUUAACUUGUGAUAAAAUAGAUCCAGCAGGAGGAGUUGGAUAUAAGUUGAAUUUCUGCCAGAUUUCAGAAGAAAAAUGUUAUUUUAAGUGUUCUGGUCAUUUCUGGUGGAGUGAAGGUCUUGUCAUGAAGUUGUCAUUGGCAGGUUUACAGACCACUGAACGUGGCUUUGUUAUUUACAAAAACCACAACACACAUAUACAAAAAGUAGAUAUGUGAAAACAUGUAACUCCGUCAAAGAAAUGUCAUGCUUAUAUAGCCUAGUGAAAAUAAGAAUCUUGAUUGUAAUGGGAAGCUGGUUCCUUUCCUAAGCUUGAGGCUGAAGAAAUCUGAACUUUCCUUUGGGUUUUGUAACUAAUUUACCACCCAAGUUUGAAACAGACAUAAAAUAAAUAAGCUGUCAAUAUUUAUUUAUUUAUUUUACUUUAUUUAUUUAUUUAUUUUUUGAGACAGGUCUCACUGUGUCACCCA